CUAACUUUUGAGUCUAUUUAUAAAUUGAGUAGUUUUAUCCAGAGCAGUUCCAAUUCAUUGGAAUUAUUUCAACAAGUUAGUUGAAUAAAUUCAAAAGGAUAAUAUAAGAUAUGUUUAAUGCAAAGGAUAUGUGUGGCUAGUGUAAGCGCCUAAAACACGACUUGCCUAUCAAUGUCUGAGCACCACCAAAAGGGUGCACACUAACUCUAUUAGUAGUAGAUGAUUGCGUAGGGAGUACAGUCAGUUGUACUGUGAUCUGUAUAUAUGGGGCCUGGUGGGUACCAAAAAAAUUAAGGGGACACUUUACUUUGCAGUAUACCUGAAACUAAUACAAAAUAAUAUUGAAUAUAAUCUAAUCUAUAAUAUAA